rnacentral:rRNA from 1 species
UACGUAGGGUGCGAGCGUUGUCCGGAAUUAUUGGGCGUAAAGAGCUCGUAGGCGGCCUGUUGCGUCGGUUGUGAAAGCCCGGGGCUUAACCCCGGGUCUGCAGUCGAUACGGGCAGGCUAGAGUUCGGUAGGGGAGAUCGGAAUUCCUGGUGUAGCGGUGAAAUGCGCAGAUAUCAGGAGGAACACCGGUGGCGAAGGCGGGUCUCUGGGCCGAUACUGACGCUGAGGAGCGAAAGCGUGGGGAGCAAACAGG